AGCAACAGCAAGGUGCUUAGCAAGUCAGUGAGACCCUGUCUCUAAAUAAACUACAAAAAUAGGGCUGGGGAUGUGGCUCAGUGGUUAAAUGCUCCUAGUUUCAAUCCCUGGUACCUAAAAUAAAAUAAAUCAGGCAAAUGAAAACAAGGGGUUCCAAACUCCCCAGUCCUGCCGUCUCAAGUACCCAGGACAGGGUCCCCAGAAGAUUGACGCUAGCAGAGCCAUCUGCCACCUCCAGCAUCAGCACUCCACCCACGCCAAACCUGUCUUAAUGCCUCGGCUGCCACUCUGAGCUCUCCUCGUGUACCCAAGGUCAAUUUGCUCUAAUAUUUAUAAUUAUCUGUUCCCUCCCAUUUGAGCUGCUGCUGCUUUGGUUAUAAAAACACCCACCACCCCUCACGAGGUCAGAGGCUGGCAGAAAGAAGUUCAUUAGUCUUUAUGGCCUGUGUAAUAUCUCAUGUCAAGGCAGUGGGUGGACAGCCCCCACACACGGCAGCCUCCGAGAUGCUCGGCUGGCUGCAGGCGCUGACUGGAUUGAUUGCAUCCAUAAUGACUUGAUGGCUGCUCUCUGGAGUGGGACAUGUAAAUACCUCGACUCUCCAGUGGGAGGAGAAGGCUCUUUAUCAAAGAUGCAUCCUCAGAGAUCAGGAGAAUACAUUUUGCUGGAAAUGUUCUCAUCAGGUGGCAUCUCUUUCCCUCAAUACCUUAAACCCACCUUCCCUACAGCAGGCACCCACCUGUCCCAUAUUUUUGAAAUGGAUGGAUGAAUGAGUAGAACUGUGUCAAUCAAAUUUGCCCAGUAAUAAUGUUAGAGUUCGAAGUGAAACCCAGAGUUCCCACAAAUCUUUGAGUCCCAAAACUGAGUAUCAGUGAAGAUCUUCAAUAUUCAGGACAAAAUCCCAAGAUCCUGUGCCCCUAAGUGAUAUCCAGAAUAUAAUAUUUCUCCAUUCUAAUAAGUAACUAAGUACCGGGGGUAGGACUGCUUCUCACCAAUAUGGUACCUUCUUGCAAAUAGGAAAAGGUUUCCGCUCUGCCCAUUGGACACAGUCACACAACAGGGUGUUUGGGGUCCUGAGCAGAGGGCCAGCUGGAUCUUGGUCCCUGCUGACUUCUCAGCUGGGCACCUUUGAACAGUAAACAACCUGCAGGAUUGUUUACUGUUUACUGUUUACCUAGGGACACAGUUUGUCCCUGAGGAAGGCCCUGAGCUUUCUUGACCUCCAUGUGUCUCACCUCAUCUAAAGCUGUGCCUGGCUCCCUACGGGAAGAAGGAAGAGGGGAGGAGAAGAAAUACCCAACAUCCUUGGGAACAUCACAAGUGGAACUUUGUGAAGGAACAGGACAAGAAAAGCCCAACAGCCUAUUGCUCGGUCUGGUGUAGGAAAAUAAAGCAAAAUGAAAUAGAGUCCAAUUAGUUUGCUUCAACAAUAUUAAAUUCCAGAGGAAAACGGGAAGAAAGCCCUGCUGACAUUACCUGGAGCUGCAGAGAGGGGCCAGGCAAUUACAUUAGAACAGAUAGAAGGUUGUGAGUUGCCAAACGAAGAAGCAAUCACAGAGAUAAAAGCAGGCGCUUUCCCCAAACUGAAAACAUAACUAAAUCAUUCAUCAACUUCCCAAACAGCACCCAGGCACCUGAUCUGGAGACAAAUAAAGGGGUUGUUUUUUUUAAAUGGCAUUAUCUCCAAUAGCCUGAUUCCUUUGCCUCCAGCUAAUUUGGAUUAAUC
rnacentral:lncRNA from 1 species